rnacentral:sRNA from 1 species
CGGCAACACCUCAGCCCGAGCCCGGCGAGGUCUCUGGGCUCCAGGAGCGAGGGCAACUUUGUGAAGAAUGUCCCGAUGAACCACGGCGUGUACACGUGGCCGGACGGCAGCAUGUAUGAAGGCGAAGUGGUCAACGGCAUGAGGAACGGAUUCGGGAUGUUCAAGUGCAGCACCCAGCCUGUGUCCUACAUCGGCCACUGGUGCAAUGGCAAGCGGCACGGGAAGUUAUAAAUCUGGAAAUAUAUACGAAGGCCAGUGGGAAGACAACAUGCGCCACGGGGAGGGGAGGAUGAGGUGGCUGACCACCAACGAAGAGUACACCGGGCGGUGGGAGAGGGGCAUCCAGAAUGGCUUUGGAACACACACGUGGUUUCUAAAGAGAAUCCGCAGUUCCCAUUUUUCUGUCUGCAGGGCCGAUUAACUUUCAAGAACGGGCGUGUGUACGAAGGCGCAUUCUCCAAUGACCACAUAGCCGGGUUUCCAGAUCUUGAAGUUGAAUUCAUCAGCUGCCUGGACCUGUCUUCAGGAGUUGCCCCAAGAUUGUCCAGGAGCGCCGAACUGAUCAGAAAGCUUGAUGGCAGUGAAAGUCAUUCUGUGUUGGGAUCGAGCAUUGAGUUGGAUCUAAAUUUGCUCCUGGACAUGUACCCUGAGACAGUCCAACCUGAAGAAAAGAAGCAGGUGGAAUAUGCCGUCUUAAGAAAUAUUACAGAAUUAAGAAGAAUCUACAGCUUUUACAGCAGCCUGGGAUGCGGCCACUCUCUGGAUAAUACCUUUCUGAUGACAA